rnacentral:rRNA from 1 species
CCUACGGGAGGCUGCAGUGGGGAAUAUUGGACAAUGGGGGGAACCCUGAUCCAGCCAUGCCGCGUGUGUGAAGAAGGCCCUCGGGUUGUAAAGCACUUUCAGUGAGGAAGAACGCCUGGUGGUUAAUACCCAUCAGGAAAGACAUCACUCACAGAAGAAGCACCGGCUAACUCCGUGCCAGCAGCCGCGGUAAUACGGAGGGUGCGAGCGUUAAUCGGAAUUACUGGGCGUAAAGCGCGCGUAGGUGGCUUGAUAAGCCGGUUGUGAAAGCCCCGGGCUCAACCUGGGAACGGCAUCCGGAACUGUCAAGCUAGAGUGCAGGAGAGGAAGGUAGAAUUCCCGGUGUAGCGGUGAAAUGCGUAGAGAUCGGGAGGAAUACCAGUGGCGAAGGCGGCCUUCUGGACUGACACUGACACUGAGGUGCGAAAGCGUGGGUAGCAAACAGGAUUAGAUACCCCUGUAGUU